ACGGUGGAGCAUGUGGUUUAAUUCGAUGCAACGCGAAGAACCUUACCUGGGCUUGACAUCCCGAGAAUCUCUUGGAAACAGGAGAGUGCCCUUCGGGGAACUCGGUGACAGGUGCUGCAUGGCUGUCGUCAGCUCGUGUCGUGAGAUGUUGGGUUAAGUCCCGCAACGAGCGCAACCCUUGUCUUUAGUUGCCAUCAUUAAGUUGGGCACUCUAAAGAGACUGCCGAUGACAAAUCGGAGGAAGGUGGGGAUGACGUCAAAUCAUCAUGCCCUUUAUGUCCUGGGCUACACACGUGCUACAAUGGUCGGUACAACGAGAAGCAAGCCAGCGAUGGCAAGCAAAUCUCUAAAAGCCGAUCCCAGUUCGGAUUGCAGGCUGCAACUCGCCUGCAUGAAGUCGGAGUUGCUAGUAAUCGCGGAUCAGAAUGCCGCGGUGAAUGCGUUCCCGGGUCUU
rnacentral:rRNA from 2 species